ACGGAGGGUGCAAACGUUGCUCGGAAUCAUUGGGCGUAAAGCGUGUGUAGGCGGCCUGUUAAGUCGGGUGUGAAAGCCCCGGGCUCAACCCGGGAAGUGCAUUCGAUACUGGCAGGCUUGAGUACAGGAGAGGGUCGCGGAAUUCCCGGUGUAGAGGUGAAAUUCGUAGAUAUCGGGAGGAACACCAGUGGCGAAGGCGGCGACCUGGACUGAUACUGACGCUGAGACACGAAAGCGUGGGGAGCAAACA
rnacentral:rRNA from 1 species